UACGUAGGUUGCAAGCGUUGUCCGGAUUUAUUGGGUUUAAAGGGUGCGUAGGCGGCAAAUUAAGUCAGUGGUUAAAGGCAAUUGCUUAACGAUUGUUAGCCAUUGAUACUGGUUUGCUUGAGUGCGUUGGAGGGAGAUGGAAUACGUGGUGUAGCGGUGAAAUGCAUAGAUAUCACGUAGAACACCGAUUGCGAAGGCAUUCUCCUACGACGCAACUGACGCUGAGGCACGAAAGCAUGGGUAGCAAACAGG
rnacentral:rRNA from 1 species